rnacentral:rRNA from 1 species
UACGUAGGGGGCUAGCGUUGUCCGGAAUCAUUGGGCGUAAAGCGCGCGUAGGCGGCCCGGUAAGUCCGCUGUAAAAGUCAAAGGCUCAACCUUUGAAUGUCAGUGGAUACUGCCGGGCUAGAGUCCGGAAGAGGCGAGUGGAACUCCUGGUGUAGCGGUGGAAUGCGCAGAUAUCAGGAAGAACACCGACGGCGAAGGCAGCUCGCUGGGACGGUACUGACGCUGAGGCGCAAAAGCGUGGGGAGCGAACAGG